rnacentral:rRNA from 1 species
UACGAAGGGGGCUAGCGUUGCUCGGAAUCACUGGGCGUAAAGGGUGCGUAGGCGGGUCUUUAAGUCAGGGGUGAAAUCCUGGAGCUCAACUCCAGAACUGCCUUUGAUACUGAAGAUCUUGAGUUCGGGAGAGGUGAGUGGAACUGCGAGUGUAGAGGUGAAAUUCGUAGAUAUUCGCAAGAACACCGGUGGCGAAGGCGGCCCACUGGAUCGGUACCGACGCUGAGGUGCGAAAGCGUGGGGAGCAAACAGG